rnacentral:rRNA from 1 species
CACGUAGGCACCAAGCGUUGUCCGGAUUUAUUGGGCGUAAAGAGCUCGUAGGCGGUCUGUCGCGUCUGGUGUGAAAACUCAGGGCUUAACCCUGAGCUUGCAUCGGGUACGGGCAGACUAGAGUGCGGUAGGGGGAGACUGGAAUUCCUGGUGUAGCGGUGAAAUGCGCAGAUAUCAGGAGGAACACCGGUGGCGAAGGCGGGGUCUCUGGGCAGUAACUGACGCUGAGGAGCGAAAGCGUGGGGAGCGAACAGG